rnacentral:rRNA from 1 species
UACGUAGGGUGCGAGCGUUGUCCGGAAUUACUGGGCGUAAAGAGCUCGUAGGUGGUUUGUCGCGUUGUUCGUGAAAACUCACAACUCAAUUGUGGGCGUGCGGGCGAUACGGGCAGACUGGAGUACUGCAGGGGAGACUGGAAUUCCUGGUGUAGCGGUGAAAUGCGCAGAUAUCAGGAGGAACACCGGUGGCGAAGGCGGGUCUCUGGGCCGUAACUGACGCUGAGGAGCGAAAGCGUGGGGAGCGAACAGG